CUUCAUUCCACUUUCGAUAGAAUAGUCAACCAGAUUUGGAAAUAUUUGAUCUUCGAGGACAACGAAACGUCAAUAUUGGUGAUUAACAAUAUUUGAAUACACAAGUUUCUACCUUUCUUAGUAAGAAUACUGGCUGCAAAAAUCGAUCAAGGCCUUCUGCACUCUGGUCUAAUCGAAAAUUGAAACAAUGUUAGGUGCCUUGAAAAAUUGGAUUUCCCGGGCUGUUUAUCGAUACGAAGUCACUACGGCGUUGUACAUGUUGGAACCCUGGGAGAAAGUUCUUUUCAAUUCUACUGCAGUGUUAUUGAUUGGCAUGUCAACAUACUCCACCUAUGUUUACUUACCACCAUUUAUGAACAAUGUUUUGUUUGCUGUUGGCUUCUCAUAAGAGCAAUGAAGAAAUCACUUUGGGGAACAUUUUCAUUUAUGUGUUUACUGUAUUAAAUCAAUGAUUAUAAUUCUUUGAUUCAAAAA